CUGUCUGCUUAAAUGCGUUUCACUAAGGGCCUAUAAAUUUACGUGUGUUGCAUCGCACUUUGACCCCUUUCUUUAAUUAGAGAGCGCGUGUCUUAGUUUUCGCUUUGCUCAUACAAUUAGGUCCUGAAAGCAACGAACGUGACCGCAACCUCUUGUUGCCUUUAUACCAAACAUGUUUUGCGUCAAUUUUCGAAUUGCGCGCAUUUCAUGAAAAAAGGCUUUUUAAACUAGAGGGACCGCUGUUACUUUCUUAAACCAGAGGAAGGUUGCGGCAAUAACAGGUCUGUGAUGCCCUUAGAUGUUCCGGGCUGCACACGUGCUACAAUGAUUAUUGCAGUGAGCAUCUCAUUUUUACACACCGCAUGCGCGAGUCCAUUUAUUCACCUUCGGGUGUUUUAAAUGUGUAUCUCUGCGCGCGGUAAAGCCUGCUUCGACAGUAAGUGGGUAAUCAAUUAGAAGUAAUGAUUUCCUUUUUUUUAGCACACAUAUAUACGGCGUCUAUGCCCGGGUUACYUUGUUGUAGCUUUUGUGCGUAUAGUUUUUUCCGUAUGUGCGAUUGUCAAUYAUGGUGGGGACAGACCAUUGUUAAUUGUUGGUCUCGGUCUUAACUAGGAAUGCCUUGUACGGGUCUUUGGUUCAACAAACCACCCGGAAUACGUCCCUGCCCUUUGUACACACCGCCCGUCGCUCUUACCGAUGGACUUCUCUGUGAGUUUGAGGGACUGGGAACGCAGGAAUUUAUUUCUGCACACCUAUGGAAACUUAAACGAACAGUGUGGCUCUAAAGGAAAGAGAAGCUCGUAACAAGGCAUA
rnacentral:rRNA from 1 species